rnacentral:piRNA from 1 species
UGAGUGAAUUAUAAUCAAAAGGAUACUA